rnacentral:misc_RNA from 1 species
GCCCACCACAUAUUGAACUGUGCCCAUUGAGUAACAUCUUCGAGCAUCCAAAUUACUAGUCUCUCCUUGUCCACUCUCCCUGCUAGGUUCUCCCUCAGUCAGGCUUCUGAACUUCCCAAGUCUCACCGAGAAUACCCUCUUCUCGCCUACACUUUCCUCCAUAUUACUUGGUUUUGGACCGUUGGAAGACCCAUUUUCUCCAUCGCUGGAGAACUCAUUUGAGACUUCCAUCAAAAAAUCAAAAUUGAACAAUGGAUUUUCCAUGGGAAAACUGGAG